rnacentral:rRNA from 1 species
CCUUUGACCGCUCUAGAGAUAGAGUUUUCCUCUUCGGAGGACAAAGUGACAGGUGGUGCAUGGUUGUCGUCAGCUCGUGUCGUGAGAUGUUGGGUUAAGUCCCGCAACGAGCGCAACCCUUGAACUUAGUUGCCAUCAUUCAGUUGGGCACUCUAAGUUGACUGCCGGUGACAAACCGGAGGAAGGUGGGGAUGACGUCAAAUCAUCAUGCCCCUUAUGAUUUGGGCUACACACGUGCUACAAUGGACAAUACAAAGGGCAGCGAAACCGCGAGGUCAAGCAAAUCCCAUAAAGUUGUUCUCAGUUCGGAUUGUAGUCUGCAACUCGACUACAUGAAGCUGGAAUCGCUAGUAAUCGUAGAUCAGCAUGCUACGGUGAAUACGUUCCCGGGUCUUGUACACACCGCCCGUCACACCACGAGAGUUUGUAACACCCGAAGCCGGUGGAGUAACCAUUUUGGAGCUAGCCGUCGAAGGUGGGACAAAUGAUUGGGGUGAAGUCGUAACAAGGUAGCCGUAUCGGAAGGUGCGGCUGGAUCACCUCCUUUCUAA